UACGAAGGGGGCUAGCGUUGUUCGGAAUCACUGGGCGUAAAGGGCGCGUAGGCGGCUUUAUAAGUCGGGGUGAAAGCCUGUGGCUCAACCACAGAAUUGCCUUCGAUACUGUAGAGCUUGAGACCGGAAGAGGUAAGUGGAACUGCGAGUGUAGAGGUGAAAUUCGUAGAUAUUCGCAAGAACACCAGUGGCGAAGGCGGCUUACUGGUCCGGUUCUGACGCUGAGGCGCGAAAGCGUGGGGAGCAAAC
rnacentral:rRNA from 1 species